AACCAGCUUGACAACCCAAAAUCCAUUUUCAAAAACAGGAGAGAGAAAUGUAAAACCGGUGGUGUUAUGUACUGAGUUGUAAACGCAGCAAUUGAAGUGAGACCUCUUCUUGGAUAGUGUUUUUUCCUAGCACAUUGAAGCACACGGUCCAUGAGGCAGUUCUGCUGACCAACCCCGCUGACAUUUCAUUGUGCCUGAGGAAUAUGUGAUUGAAUCCCACCUGAAAAUAGCCAUCCGUCUGGAAGUGGCCUCACAUCCUUUUGCUAAGAAACAAAAACAGGACUAGGAGAAAGAUGCCUGCCGAAAAUGUCAGUAUCACUUCACCCCAAUUGACAGGUUCUCAUGCUCAGCCACCGGAUACACACAGCUUUGUUUGCUGAGAUCUCAAUCAUUCAUCAGCCUAACAGAUAGGUGGUCUUGUGCGUGUGAUCAUCCAAGAAAGCGGAGUCAGUUUAGGAAAGCAAACAUUUGAGAAACACUCCACUCUAAAUGCGCUCUCACAAGGAAGUGUCAGGGGACUCAUUUUCCGCAUGGCAACGUUCACAAUGUGAACUGCGGAAAGUAGUUCGUCCCAUAAUUUUUCUGCAUGCCAUCAUCAUUGUACACACACGCACACAAAAAUGCUUCUGGAAGAGCGACAACUUUGGUUGUAUCCACACUCGAGCUCUUGAGGGACUGCUUUUCUACAAUUAGAAAAGAUGUGCUGUUCUUCAGUUCUUCGUGACGCCAAGGUGAGACAUUUGCCAUAAGGGUUGUUGGUGUGACUACACUCGCAAGGGUGACGAGAUCAUUAAAAGUGAUGAGAUAGGUGACACUUCUUUACACAUCAGAGCACACGAGAAAGCCUUUGAGCACGGAUGUGAAAGGAACAAUUAUUUGAGGCUGAACAGAUGUCUGCACAAAUUAUGUUAGUUGUUUAUGCAUACACCAUUUUCUGGAGUUCUAUAAUCCACGCUGAAAGACAUGAUGAAAAAGCAGCUUGCUUGAAGAAUCAGGUUUUGCCAGUCAAACUCUGUAGGUGGCCUGGUAUAUUCUGAUGAGGUGUCUCUUCAACUGGAUUUUAAAUUUGCCCCUUUGGUAGAGAAAUUGUUCGGGAAGCAGCUAUCGUUUUGCAUUGCCAUAUUGUAGGUAGGCAGUUUCAAAGAUUCUGCAAAACUCUCAUGCUCAGCACCCACUAACAUUAUUGUGCCUGACUGACAGUAUUGAACUGCUAACUGUAUGGAUUAUGCUGUUUUUGAUAUGCAUCUUUUGGGCAACAACUCUUGAAUGCUCCUAACAGUACAAAGCAACAUGGCUGAUUCAUAGCUCAGGAUAUGUGCAUUACAUGCGUGGUGACUGGAAGGCACCAAAGUGUGGUCAAGAAUGAGUAAAAUGUACAAGUGACCAGCUCUGAGAACACCUUCUAUGACAAUGAUGCUGAUGACAAUUGGAUCUGCCCUGCAGGUGAAUAGUCACAAAAGCAUGACGUUUGAUACUGACUUGAGCCAGCAAACCAAAGCCUAAGUUAUUGUUAAUUGUUUAAGAUGUAAAGUUACAUUCAUAUUAUCAUGUUUUAUGUUUAUUGUGGCAUUAUUGGGGAAAUAGCAACCUUACCCCCAA